CAGCCGCCGCGGAAUACGAAGGGUGCAAGCGUUACUCGGAAUUACUGGGCGUAAAGCGUGCGUAGGUGGUGGUUUAAGUCCGUUGUGAAAGCCCUGGGCUCAACCUGGGAAUUGCAGUGGAUACUGGGUCACUAGAGUGUGGUAGAGGAUAGUGGAAUUUCCGGUGUAGCAGUGAAAUGCGUAGAGAUCGGAAGGAACAUCUGUGGCGAAGGCGACUAUCUGGGCCAACACUGACACUGAGGCACGAAAGCGUGGGGAGCAAACAGGAUUAGAUACCCCGGUAGUCCCUGUCUCUUAUAUA
rnacentral:rRNA from 1 species